UUAAAAUUAAUGAAGAAGAGAGUAGUUACAUGGAAUGUGAUCAGCGAACUGGGGAUGGUGGAAGCCCAGGACAGGAAAUGUAAUGAACCGCACUUUGGAGAUGUCAGGUUGUAUAGAAUAUUCGUGUUUAUACAUUUUGACCGGGUUGCUACCGUUAUAAAGCUUAAAAGUUGGUUCCUUAUGAUGGAACAAUAAGAGUGGUACCGCGGGUGAAAAAAACACUCGCCUCUUUC
rnacentral:ncRNA from 1 species